rnacentral:rRNA from 1 species
UAGGGAAUAUUGGGCAAUGGGCGAAAGCCUGACCCAGCCAUGCCGCGUGUGCGAUGAAGGCCCUCGGGUCGUAAAGCACUUUUGCACAGGAUGAAACGGCGAUGCGUCGCUCUAUGACAUUACUGUGAGAAUAAGCACCGGCUAACUCCGUGCCAGCAGCCGCGGUAAUACGGAGGGUGCGAGCGUUGUCCGGAUUUAUUGGGUUUAAAGGGUGCGUAGGCGGCCUUUCAAGUCAGCGGUGAAAUUCCCGCGCUCAACGCGGGGACUGCCGUUGAUACUGUUAGGCUUGAGUCUCGGAGGGGAAAGCGGAAUUUGUGGUGUAGCGGUGAAAUGCAUAGAUACCACAAGGAACCCCGGAGGCGAAGGCGGCUUUCUGGCCGAUGACUGACGCUGAUGCACGAAAGCGCGGGUAGCGAACAGG